ACACACCCAACACCCCCGCUAUAGCUCCAGCACAAGUGCCUGUCUUCACAUCUUAAAUUUUGUUUGUUUCUACUCGCCAAAUGGAUAGACACACAUGCUAACUAGAUGAAUUGGGCCCAGCCCUGAUCACAGUGACUGGACACCCCCCUUCUAAGAAGCCCCCUAACACCACCAGGGUCCUGUGGAGAGGACCACGAGAAAAGACGAUCACCGGGGGCCAGCGUGUCCCCUGGCGGGAACACACGGCAACAGGAAAGGUCAUGUGAUUCCUUGUGAAACAUUGAAGGAAGCCCAACACGACAAAAAGCUUUUUCACAACCAUUAAAACCUUCAAUGGCUUAAUGUGCUCAUAUUAUAUGAUUGAAUCCAUCUGACGGUUGACAGUCACCAUUUUCAGAUACCUAUGUCUUGUGUGAAGCUUUUGGCAUUGGAUAUGUCUUUUUCCCAAAGGUUUCGGUUCAUUUCCGACAUUCAGAACCUUCAGAGGUUCCACUUGAGUCAUUAUUAACGACUACUUUGAAUGAUCAGUGAUGCGCCCCACAGGGUUGAGCCCCAUCACUUUACUGCAGAAGCUCAUCCCAACUGUCGUUCCGGAUGCUCUAAGGGUAAGGCUUUCAUGAGUUUCUUCGUAAAUGAAAUGAAGGACAACGUAAAGAAAGUGGCUUUCUAUGGAGUUAUCACUUUGUAAUUUACACAUCCUUUAAAGGAAGUCCGGACACGUUCCCGCCGGCUUGUACACGAUGGCGUCGGACUGCUGAGAUUCACGCCUGAGCCCCGUCAACAGUGCUGUGUUUACGUUGGUCUAAAAGCGGUGUAAAUUGAAUUCUUUGCUACGUUGCCGUCGGCGGCUCCAGGUGUAAAGUGGUAGACAGAGUUGUAAGUUACCACUCCUCCUGGGGGAGGCAACCCGCCCUCGUCGCUCCUUCAAAACUCAGCAUGGCGACGGGAAAACUAAUCAAUAACAUCAUCGACAUCCUGCAUGGGGUGACGAAAAAGGAGGUAAAGCUGCUCUGGAUGCGUUUGUCUGUUCCGACACUCACAAGUGGCGAGGAGCGAUUAAAUGCAAAGCGUUCGUUUUCUUGCCGACUUUUGUGAAGUGCAGCCCAGCCCCCCCCAUCCCUGCAGGUGAGAAACUGGCAUCA